GCACAAGCGGUGGAGCAUGUGGUUCAAUUCGAUGCAAACCGAAGAACCUUACCCGGGUUUGACAUGCUGGUGGUACUGACCCGAAAGGGAAGGGACCCAGGGCCUUCGGGCGCUUGGGAACCAGCACAGGUGCUGCAUGGCUGUCGUCAGCUCGUGUCGUGGGAUGUUGGGUUAAGUCCCGCAACGAGCGCAACCCUCGCCUUUAGUUGCCAGCAUUCAGUUGGGCACUCUAGAGGGACUGCCGGUGUCAAACCGGAGGAAGGUGGGAUGACGUCAAGUCCUCAUGGCCUUUAUGUCUAGGGCUACACACGUACUACAAUGGCCGGUACAAAGGGCAGCCACUCAGCGAUGAGGCGCUAAUCCCAUAAAGCCGGUCUCAGUCCGGAUCGCAGUCUGCAACUCGACUGCGUGAAGUUGGAAUCGCUAGUAAUCGUAGAUCAGCAUGCUACGGUGAAUACGUUCCCGGGCCUU
rnacentral:rRNA from 1 species